AAACAGAACAAUGAAUGCUGUAAGUGUUGUGGAACUGCUCAUUGUGGUUUGGAGCUUCUCCGCUGUCUGUGAAGGUUAUGAUGAUGGUAACAGUAUAAACUUUCCCUUUGAAAGUGUGUGUGAGAAUGGCGAGGGACUAAAUAUAUGAUAAUGAGAAAACAUUUGGUCAAAUGUACUUAAUAGAUAUGCAGAAUGUAAAUAAUAAUGCACAAUAUUUUUUUUUUGUAGUAGAUCUGAAUUGUUUAUUUCUUGUUUAAAAAUAUAGAUAUUUUUAUUAUUCUUCAAUUGCUAUAUUAUAUGAUAAUAUACGUUGUUAUUUUUCAGAUUUCAUAGUAAGCUGUCAGAAUGUGACUGGAUCUAUGAGGAAAGAAGUAACUCUCACCUGCAGCGUCUCUCUGCAGAUCACUGAAUGCUGCAUUAUAAAGUAUAAGUUUCAAUACCCUGAGAUCUAUAAAGACUCUGCAAUCUGUCGUGAAGAUGUUCCUGUGAACUCCUGUGAACAGAGAAACAGUUUCACAUGCAGCUACACUCCAACUACAGCGAUGACAGAACAAUUCAGAUUCUUUGUGCAAACAAAGUGUGGAGUGAAAGGAGGAGAAUUUGCUGUGAACAUAACAGGACCCAUGAAAGGUGAAAUUGACACUGAAGCUCCUGGAAAGAAAGAAGAACCUGUUGGGGACAUAUCAGAAACAUCUGAACAGAAGAAACCGGAAGAUCGUGGAUUUAAGAUCGCUGUCAUCGCUGCUGUUAUAAGCUGUUUUAUCAUCAUCAUAAUGCCCAUCAUUUACAGAUUGACACAAAAACACACCAACCGGAACAGGACUCUUCUGAGUGUCAGAUAUGAAGAAGACGACAGCAAUCAUCCAGAAACAAAAACUGAAAAUAUGAUAUAAUAGCAGUACCAAACUAAUUUGUUUGUCUUAUCAUACAGUGCUCAUGAAAGACACAAGCUUUAUUUGAGCUCCAGCAAACUUCUCUACUAUCUGUUAAAAUUUAAACUACUCAACUAUAUAAAUACGAUUGCAAAACUCUGUUUCUGUUUUAUAUUAAUUUCUAUGAAAUAAUGAUAUAUUAUAGAUCUGUUUGAUCAGUGUAUUUAUAGUUCUUUUUCUGCACAUGCAAUUUCCUAAUAGCAUGAACAGUAAGGUUUGUACAGUGUGUUUUACUGAUUUAAAAAGGAAGGAGCUCAAUAAAGACUUGUGAUAGGCUACUCUCUAAAGAUAGAACAUGUAUUUAUCACCAUGUAAUGGGUCAGAGCAGGAUACUGGAUGAAAAAUAGCUGCACAGAGCUCAUCUGUGCCUUUAGUUACUGAAUGAGAUUCCCUAGAUCUUGAGAUUUGUUUUCUGAAUUUCUGUUCUGAGAAAUGGAGAAAAAGAAAGUAAAAAGAUCCCACACCUGAGAAAAGCAAACAGUUUUGGGCAUGUACUUAGAUACUUCCAAUCAAGUGUGCAACAAUUAUUUAAAUCCACAACAAACUAUGGAUUAUUUGCACAAGCAGCGCACAUCAUGAGCAGCAGCAAGGGUCCAUUUCACUCCAUUUGGUUUUUGUUUGUUGUAAGGAAAAAUACAAAUAAAAAAUACUGAUAUCAGUGUUGGAGUCCUUCACAUUCAACAUACCAAAUCACAAUGAUAUGAUGCCUAAACCACAACAUUCACACAUACAGCGGGAUUCAGUGGGGUCACAUCUGGAAAUCUGUAAUUUAAAGUCUAAUUUCAAACUGAAAAUAAACCGAAUUGUGUAUUUUUCUUUAUUAUGAAAUUCUUAUGCUGCUAAUGAAACCAUUUUGAAUUAAACUUGUUUAUUUGUGGGAAAUGGUAAAAGCCAUUCUCUGCUGGCCUGUCAUGAAUAUAAUGCAACUGCUGCAAUGCAUUCAUCUACCAGCAGAGAGCAGCUCCUGUUGAAAUCAGAAUACUUUGAAUAUGAAUAUCCUAUACAGAUCACAUGAAAUUAUAUCUGUCUUGUUCUGAGGUGAAUACGCAUCAUUUUAUUGUUGACUGAGUGUCGUUUGAUGACUCUUGGUGCAGGAUUGCUGCUUGUUUGUUAUUCUAAAUGAAGAUAAAACUGAUAUAAUGCUAUAAACUGAAAGUGAAGGAAACACUGGUGUUUUGUUCACUUUUUGAAGUUUCUUUAUUCUUUCACUUUGCUCCUCGUCUUUCAUAUGUGGUUCACUUGUAAAAUGUUCUGCACGGACCGUGUUUGCACAGCCUCUCUUUUUUUUCUUCUAUAAUAAAACAUGCCAAAUUUCCAACGUGAAGUUAAUGAUUGUAUUUUAAUAAAACAGAAGUAGUUAAAUUCAUUUCAUAUUAAGUUUAAAUUUGGAAGA
ensembl:lncRNA